UACGUAGGGUGCGAGCGUUGCCCGGAUUUAUUGGGCGUAAAGGGCGCGUAGGCGGCCACGCACGUCCGUUGUGAAAUCGCCCGGCUCAACUGGGCGGGGUCAGCGGAUACGGUGUGGCUCGAGCAAGCUAGGGGGCAAUGGAAUUCCCGGUGUAGUGGUGGAAUGCGUAGAUAUCGGGAGGAACACCAGUGGCGAAGGCGGUUGCCUGGAGCUUUGCUGACGCUGAGGCGCGAAAGCGUGGGGAGCGAGCCGG
rnacentral:rRNA from 1 species